AGUGAACGCUGGCGGUAGGCCUAACACAUGCAAGUCGAACGGCAGCACAGUAAGAGCUUGCUCUUACGGGUGGCGAGUGGCGGACGGGUGAGGAAUACAUCGGAAUCUACUUUUUCGUGGGGGAUAACGUAGGGAAACUUAUGCUAAUACCGCAUACGACCUACGGGUGAAAGCAGGGGAUCUUCGGACCUUGCGCGAUUGAAUGAGCUGAUGUCGGAUUAGCUAGUUGGCGGGGUAAAGGCCCACCAAGGCGACGAUCCGUAGCUGGUCUGAGAGGAUGAUCAGCCACACUGGAACUGAGACACGGUCCAGACUCCUACGGGAGGCAGCAGUGGGGAAUAUUGGACAAUGGGCGCAAGCCUGAUCCAGCCAUACCGCGUGGGUGAAGAAGGCCUUCGGGUUGUAAAGCCCUUUUGUUGGGAAAGAAAAGCAGCAGGUUAAUACCCCGCUGUUCUGACGGUACCCAAAGAAUAAGCACCGGCUAACUUCGUG
rnacentral:rRNA from 1 species